rnacentral:rRNA from 1 species
UAGGAAUUGGCGGGGGAGCACUACAACGGGUGGAGCCUGCGGUUCAAUUGGAUUCAACGCCGGAAAGCUUACCGGGUCAGACAGCAAUAUGAAGGUCAAGCUAAAGACUUUACCGAAUUCGCUGAGAGGAGGUGCAUGGCCGUCGUCAGUUCGUAUCGUGAGACAUCCUGUUAAGUCAGGCAACGAGCAAGACCCGUGCCCACAGUUGCCAGCAUACCCUCCGGGGUGAUGGGCACACUGUGGGGACCGCCGCUGCUAAAGCGGAGGAAGGUGCGGGCUACGGUAGGUCAGUAUGCCCCGAAUCAUCCGGGCUACACGCGGGCUACAAUGGUUGGGACAAUGGGCACCUACACCGAGAGGUGAUGGUAAUCUCCUAAACCCAGCCUUAGUUCGGAUUGAGGGCUGCAACUCGCCCUCAUGAAGCCGGAAUCCGUAGUAAUCGCGUAUCAAUAUCACGCGGUGAAUACGUCCCUGCUCCUUGCACACACCGCCCGUCAAACCAUGCGAGUGAGGUCUGAAUGAGGGCACGCUUUUUGGCGUGUUCGAAUUUGGGCUUCGCGAGUGGGGUUAAGUCGUAACAAGGUAACCUCAGUCAGUCA